UUGAUGAUGGAUGCGGCCUGUUUGAAGGUGCCCUCGCUGCUGGGAGGCUGGUGCCAAUGGCUGAGUUUGCAACUUCUUGCAGUUUUUUUCGAUCCUUUGCAGUGGGCCUUCUGUACCAGACAGUGAUGCCUCCACUUAGAAUGCUCUCCACGGUACAUCUGUUGAAAUUUGCGAGUGUCUUUUGUGACAUACAAAGUCCUCAUGAAAUAAAGCCACUGUCUUUGUAUCCACAUCAGUAUGUUGUGUCCAGGAUAGAUCUUCAGAGAUGUUGACACCUGGGAACUUGGAGCCGCUCACCCUUUCCACUGCUGAUCUCUCGAUGAGGGCUGGUGUGUCUUCCCUCGACUUCCCCUUCCCGAAGUCCACUAUCAAUUCCGUGGUCUUACUGAUGUUGAGUGCAAUGUUGUUGUGACACCACUCAACCAGCUGAUGUAACGCACUCCUGUACGCCUCCUCGUCACCGUCUGAAAUUCUGCCAGCAACAGGUCUUAAUGAAGUCGGUGACAACUGUGUCAUAUUCAUUCAGAUUGGAAGAUGAAUCCCUGACUAUUGUCCAGUCCUCUGACUCAAAGCUGUCCUGUAAGCGCUCCUCCACUUUCCUCGACCAGACCUUCUUGGUCCUCACCACUAGUGCUGUAGUCUUCAGCCUCUGCCUGUAUGCUGGGAGUAGAAAUACAGCCGGGUGAUCGGACUUUCCAAAGUGUGGCAGUGGGAUGUCAUGGUAAGCGUUCUUGAUUGUGGCGUAGCAGUGCUCAAGUGUGUUGACUCCUUUGUUUCCACAGGUGGUAGUUAUUGAAGUUGGCCUGGUUGAAAUUCCCCACAGUGAUAGAGAACGCAUCCGAUUCCACAGCUCCAUCCCUGUGGAUCCCGGUGUUCAGCUCCUCCAGUGCCUGCCUGACACUGACCUGAGAUAGAAUGAACACCGUUACCAGGAUGGUGGCAGAAAACUCCCUCAGCCAAUUAAACGGAAGAUAUUUGACUGUUAGAUAUCCCAGAUUGGAGAAUGCUGAAGCCAUCGGGCUGCAACACUGCAUCUGAAGUAGGGGUGGCGAGCUAUUUUUCCGUAAAGUGCACCGCAGUCUGUGAUGUUGCUCUGGUCCUGCAACCUUGAUCUGAGAUCUUCAGUCGGACUGUACGUUUGCCAUCUUUGAAAAUAUUUUGGGUUGAGGGCCCUUUGACGUUUCUCAGUCACAAUGGCCACAGUAAGUCUACAGCGGAUGUGAUUUUACUGGCUGUCCGCUCAACCUUGGAUCACUUAGACAAUGGGAAUACCUACGUCAGGCUGCUGUUUAUUGACUGCAGAUCAACAUUCAACACAAUUGUA